UUAGCUGAACUAUUAAGAUCAAGUGUAGUAUCUGUUCUUAUCAGUUUAAUAUCGGAUACGUCCUCUAUCUGAGGACUAUAUAUUAUAAAGAUAGAUAGGAACUCUU
rnacentral:snRNA from 1 species